UCGAGCGAAGCUUUUCAGUAGUUUACUACAGAAAAUGACUGAGCGGCGAACGGGUGAGUAACGCGUGAGCAAUCUACCUUAGUUACAGGGAUAGCCCGAGGAAACUCGGAUUAAUACCUGAUAUUCUUUAUUUCUCGCAUGAGAAUAAAAGGAAAGGUCAGCCGAACUAAGAUGAGCUCGCGUUCUAUCAGCUAGUUGGUGAGGUAAAAGCUUACCAAGGCUACGACGGAUAGCUGGUCUGAGAGGACGAUCAGCCACACUGGGACUGAGACACGGCCCAGACUCCUACGGGAGGCUGCAGCAGGGAAUAUUGUGCAAUGAACGAAAGUUUGACACAGCGACACCGCGUGUGGGAUGACGGACCUAGGUUUGUAAACCACUUUCAGGAGGGAAGAAAAUGACGGUACCUCCACAAGAAGCCCCGGCCAACUACGUGCCAGCAGCCGCGGUAAUACGUAGGGGGCGAGCGUUGUCCGGAUUUAUUGGGCGUAAAGAGCUCGUAGGCGGUUCAACAAGUCGGUCGUGAAAGUUCAGGGCUCAACCCUGAAAUGUCGAUCGAUACUGUUGUGACUAGGAUACGGUAGAGGUGAGUGGAAUUCCGAGUGUAGCGGUGAAAUGCGUAGAUAUUCGGAGGAACACCAAUUGCGAAGGCAGCUCACUGGGCCGCUAUCGACGCUGAGGAGCGAAAGCUAGGGGAGCAAACAGGAUUAGAUACCCUGGUAGUCCUAGCUGUAAACGAUGGAUACUAGAUGUAGGAACUGGAUUGACGGUUUCUGUAUCGCAGCUAACGCGUUAAGUAUCCCGCCUGGGGAGUACGGUCGCAAGACUAAAACUCAAAGGAAUUGACGGGACCCCGCACAAGUGGCGGAGCAUGCGGCUUAAUUCGAUGAUACCCGUAGAACCUUACCUGGACUUGACAU
rnacentral:rRNA from 1 species